ACUCAUUGUGGACACUGCAGCUGUACAGUCCUUGGUCUACCAGCUGAACGUUACAUAUGAUAAGAAACUGAAUAUUUCCACGUUGUGACUGCUUCACUCUUUCAGAGUCCUCGAUCUUUAUGCCUUCGUGAGUCCAGGUUACAUCAACAGAGGAUUCAUCUUGUAAGACACAGAGGAAUUCAGCAGUGUCGCCGCACCUUACAGAGAGGUCCUGAAGCUGCAGGAGAAUCUUUGGUGCCUCACCCACUGCCUCUUCAGCAUAGUUCCCAGAUAACUCAGUGCUUUCUGCAAUUUGUGAAAGGGACGCAGUGUGGCGCAACUCUACAUUUUGAACCGAUGCAGCUGUGUGGAUGGAACUUUGAGAUACACUUUCAAAAACCUGUGAUUCAUAUUCAUAUGAUGAUCCUUGAAAUGACUUAAUUUCGUUUUGGGAUAGUUUGCUCUCCUGCUUUGUGAAAGAGGAAUCUGCCACUGCCUGGGACUUGGUGGACUCUCUUACAUCUUUCCCAGAACUCUGCCUAGCUAGGGCUUGCACUGUAUAAUCAAGUGACAAGAAAAAGAAAAGAAUAUUAAGAUCUAAGCUUUGUCACUUGGUUAGGUUAGUAACAUAAAAUGGCAUGGAAGAUGAAGAUGGAAGAUGUCAUUGUCACCUGGAAGCAGCAUGCCAAAUGGAGUAUGCUCUAGGAUGUCAGAUCAUACAAAAGAAAGUUCAUUCCCAGUGACCCAGUGAUGAAUGGAUGAUGAAGGCUCAUGCGAUGCCAUAGCGUCUCUGCGUCCUUCCUUCUGUUGUCACUGCAGCUAACCAGAGUUACAUAGCCUGUCUCUCUCUCUCUCUCUCUCUCUUUUCCCUCUCCUGGGAUUCCAUUUGUCCUUCUUCUUCUGCAUACUUUAUAAACAAUAUACAGCAAAUGGAUCAUUAAUGAUCCAACCACGAGAUGUUGUUUAGACAAGUAAAAACAUCAAGCAAAGCUGAUGCCUUAAAAAAUACUAGUGUACUACGCAGAAUAUACACUUCAGUGAGAUUUUAAUUGCAUAGGUUAACCCAUAAUUGAGAACUAAGGAGGACUUGUUGGGUGUUAUUUUAUUAGUAAAUUAUCGACUGACCACACUAUGCAAUGAGACAAACAGUAGAGACUCUCAUUAGUAACAGUGGGAGUAGGAGGUAUGAAGCAAAUCCAAGUCUUUAAAGCAACAUGAGCUUUACCUUUUGGAGUCACUGUGAGUGUAGCUGCACAAGAGGCUUCCCCAGCACUAUUGGCGGCUUUGCAAGAGUACUGCCCAGCAUGCUCUGAGUAAGCAUCAACUAUAAGCAUUAAAGCCAUGCCUGUGGACUCCUCAAAAUGGAAAACUACAUCUUUUGUUGGUAGAAUUGACUGCUGGUUAUGAAACCACUGGAUUUCUGGCUUGGGAAUGCCAAAAACCCUUGCAUGAAAUCUGACUGUCUCCCCGCUGUGCACCCUGAGGCUUGAUAGAGGCUGGAUGAAGAUGGGCUUUUGGCCAAGGGAGUCCUUCUUAAAUGAAACUGACGAAGAAACAUGCCAUUGGGAGUUUGAUGUAACUUCUCCAAAUUUGCUAAAUCCUGAAAAGAAGCAUGCCAACCUUUAAUGUCUUACCCUGCAUUGAAACCAGAACUCAUUUGGAGUUGUCUACAGAUCUGUCGUAAAUUGUAAUGGUGGACUAGAAUCCAGACCAAUCUUAAUGCCUUGUCAACGUAUGACAUUAUUGGUUCCAAGUCACACAUGUUCACUUCCAUUUUCCAGACAAACCAAUGGAGACAUAAAUAGUCUAAGAAACUUCACCGUAUUGUUUGCGAAGGCAGUAGUGAAGUACACAAUUUAGUUUAGGUAUUCUUGUUUUCUGUUUUUAUUUUUUUCCCCUCUGGUUAUAAAAUCAGAUUUUCUGUUUUGUAAACCACUUUAAAUUGAUUAUUAAGAAAAUAUCUGAUUAUUAUUGUAUUUAAAAUUAAGGGAAAAAUCAAAGUUGCCUUCAAUCCUUAUGUAUUUGUACAUAGUUAAGAAUACAUAGACUAAAUUAGCUCAGCAAAAAUAGUCUGACUGUAUAAAAAUGUUGUUAUCUUGUUUUGAAUCAAAGUGCUCCCCACUGCCAGGGAAGUGUUUCUGAUUGCAGUUUAAAAGCCCCAAAUAUCAGAAAUGCUAAACCAUCUUUGGACUGGGCCCCUUAACCUGAAGGCAUUCUUGGAAUGAUGGCGAAUGCAUCUAGAUGGUGUCCAGACCCGAAAUCAUCCUCUGUAGCUUCUGUGAACUCAGAAUUGUGUCAAGACAAUGGGGGGAUAGUAACGCUGGCAUUAAAAAACAUUUUUUUUUAAUUUUCAUCUUAGCUAAAUGAGAAAACAAAUCUACCUAAGUAUUUCUUUAGCAUAUUUCUCUCCAUUCUGAUACAUGCUGAUCAGAAAGCAUGAAAGCUGGCGCGGAGAGCAGUACAUUACAAAACAGUAUAAAGACAAAGCAGGGCAAAAUAGAAAAUGAUGGUUUGUGAUUCAUCAUGAAAUGGGAUAAAAGAAAAGUAAGAAUGUCGUAUAUAACAUGGAAAUAAUUAGUUGCAUUAAAAGAGAAUGGUAGGGCCAAUGAUGGUUUACAUGGAAUCUUUAGUGAUUGUUACUGGCAUUGUAAGAUUAGAUCCAUAUUUAAAUGUGGUUCUUAAAGUUGUUUACUGUACCUGCCAGUCUCAAGUUGGCUGUGCUUGAUACUUGACCAACAGCAUUAUUAGCAACAAAAGUGUAAGUUCCUUCAUCUUCCGGAAAAGCUUCAGCAAUUUCCAGUUGGUAAGUGUCUUCAAAUUGAGUCAUUCUAAAGAACCGAGAUGGCUUGAUUUUCUUGUCUUUGGCGUACCAAGACACUUUUAGAUCUGCAUCACAAAAGAAAAAAAAGAUAUUUAAAAUCACAAAAAGUGGUGGAUGAUUUUACCUGCAAACACAGUAUUGAUUACAUUGUUGACUACAUUUCAUAUUUAUCUUAAUAACAUUAGAUUUCCCUUUUGGGCUUGCCACAUCUGCUCUUUUAGGUUUCCUUUUCAUCUUUAAGAAAAACAUGAUUCCAGAAAAAUCCAGCUUAUAGACUGGUUGUAAUAUUUGAACUUUUAUAAUUUUAAUUAUAUUCUUUUUAACCAUUUGCAGUCCAUGCUGUGGAAACAGGGUCAAGGUUUUGACAUAGUGACCUUGAGAAAAAGACAGUCCUAAGGUAGAGUCAUCAGGAUGGGUUUUAUCUAGGAUUGUGGUUGCUUAACGAGGACAGGGAGAGGAAAAUCUGCACUUCUGGUGGGCAGAAAGAUCAAUCAAAAAGAGAGCUGAGAGAAUCAACAUUCCCAAAAGUAUAAAACAGACACCCUGUAGUCUGAAGAAAAAAAUUCUAUACUGUCAUUACCAAUGAGCAAGCAUUGAAAGGUCUGAGCAAAGCAAAAAAUAAUUUUUAAAACUGAGAGUAAUGAAAUUUGGGCAUCUUAGAUAUAUUUGGCUUUUUUCAAAGUAUAUAAUAAUAAAACCAGUUCUUUUCAUAUAAGGAGUUGAAUCAUGUUAAAAUGAUAGAAAAUAACCCCAAAGCAAAGAUAAAAUAACAUUAUAUUGUUAUGGUUUAAGGUAAUGUGCACUUUAAAAAAUAUACUUCCAUUGAAACAGUAACCCUGUAAGUCAAGAGUGGAUUUAGUUAUUUGUUUUAAAAGCCACAACCCAAGCUGAGUAUGAUCCCUAUACCACUCCCUUUUCUAAUUACCAUCUAUGGAGGAUUCUCUUGUGGUGCAAUCAGCUAGCAUUUGUUUGCAUUUUGGCACAAAUAUUGGCUUGUGAAGGUUUCCCUCCAUCCUGCCCAUGGUGGUAGUAUUUUUAAACUACAGGUUCUCCUUUUAAAUCUCUUCACUUCCUUAGGUAGCAAGGUAAGGUAGAAAAUGGAAUGCUGAUACCACAAUUUACCAGCUGUGUGACCUUACACCUGCCAUUUAAUCUUUCUGGACCAGUCUUCUCAUUUGUAAAAUAAGAUGCAUAGUAAUUCAUGAGCUAUUUUUUUUAAUAUAUGAAAUUUAUUGUCAAAUUGGUUUCCAUACAACACCCAGUGCACGAGCUAUUCUUUGCAAUAAAUUGUUGUGUGAAUUAAAUGGCUUACACAUGGAAGGAGCUUUAUAAACCACUGUCACAAGUCAGUUAUUAUAGAAAGAAUGUUUAACCUCGCAAGGGAUCAGCAGUGCCUUUAAUAAUUUACCAAAAGUCAGGGCCAGGUGAUGUAAGAGACAACACCAUCACAUGGAAUUUAGCGAUCAUUCUAUAACUAUUUAGUUUGUCUAUUAAACCUCAACAGAAAUGGAAGAUGAAGAGUUUGGUUCACCACUUUGCAAGGUUCUCUGCAUAUUACUACUGACAGAGGUAAACUGAUUGAAGCCCUAGGAUAGGCAUGUAUUGUCAACAAGAAAUAAGCUAACAGGUGAGACCUCUCUUGGUAAUGGAUUUGGUGCUUCUGACUGGGCUGCCCCUUUCUGUGUCGGUCACUGGUCUCUUUUGGCUUCCGUGAGGCCUCUCCACUGCCCCUGCUCCCCGUUCUAUUACUCCACUAUAUUUGGUCCCUAAAUUCUGUUCAUUCCACCUCUUGAAUUCAAUAUACACCCUUUUUUCUCCCGAUUCCCCUAAUUGAGGGCCUUGUCAGCACCUUCCAAGCCUGUUAGGAUGGCCUCUCCCUUGGUCCUCACCUGGUCUCACCUCCCACAUCUGACCAUUCCUCUUUUCACUACCACAGUAGUGUCUCUAAAAAAGUAAAUCAUGUUACCGAGGGGCUUAAAAAUCCUUCAGUUGCUCCUUAGUAUAAACAAGGUAAAAUCUAAAAUCCUAAGCAUAGAAUACCAAACCUUUAGUACCUGGCCCUUGCCUUCUUUCCUGGCCUUCUCAUCCACUUAUCACAUCACUUUCCAACCAUACUUAAGCCACUUGUCGUUUCCAGCACAUGAAGUACCCUUGCAAGCUUUUAUGACUUUGUAAAUGUCGUUCUCUGCCUAGAACACCGCUGUGUUCAAGGACCCUGUUGAUUUUUCAAUGCCCAGUCUGUGCAUCUCUGUUCAUAUUGCAAACAGUCAGCGCUGAGUACAUGGGCUGUUAUGGCACUUACAACCUUGGGAUCUAGUUGUGCACGUGUGUCUCCUCACCUACACUCAAUUCUAUGAAAGCCAGGUCUGGCAUCCCUAGCAGCUAGUGUAAUGUUUCAAUAGCAGUCGAAUAAACCUGAAGAGUUACUUAAAUGAACAACAGGAAUCCAUCAUUGCCAGACCACUUAUCAUUUUAUUUAGCUAGCUGUUGCUCAGUAAGCCUUUGAAUGAUACUGAUUAUCUGUAGAAUAAACAUUGGUAAAAAUGUAGCUUUAUUACGUUUUAAAAAUCUGCUUUUACAAAUUGCUUUUCCACCAGUAAGUGGCACCAGAGACCUUCAGUAGGCAACACGUUCUCAUAAAAGCACCACUAGAUUGCUGAGGGCCAAGUUCCAUGCUUCAGUUAAGUAUUGAGUUCCAAAAACAUGUGACUGAGGUUUCUGAAGACUGAUAAUGUUUUUUCACAUUUGUAGAAGGCAGGGCUGAAUUUACUUUCCUAGGGUAAUACUUGCUAAGAGAAAGUUGUGUAAAUAUAUUUAGUCCCAGGGGCAUCAACCUUUAUGAUUUGGUAAGCUUUUAAAAGGGCAUUUUACUUAAAGAACUUACAUUUUGCCAUAUAGGAAAUACAUUUGCAAGAGGGUGCUCAAAUUUCUAUAUGUGUAUAAAUAGUACCACACAUAAAGAGUUAGUAAUCCAUAAAUUUAUAACGUCCAUUUAAACAUUUAAAGAUGUCAGUCAUAUAAAAAAGAUAUUUUUCUCUUUCUACCCCAAUUGGAGUCUUUUUUAAAAAAUUAUUAUUAUUAUUAUUAUAUUAUUAUUAUUAUUUUAGAGAGGGAGAGAACAUGUGUGUGUGAGCAGGGGAGAAAGGCAGAGGGAGAGAGAGAGAAUCUUAAGCAGGCUCCACCCUUAGCAUGGAGCCUGAUGAGAGCUUGAUCCCACAACCCCAGAAUCAUGACCUGAACAGAAACCAAGAAUGGGAUGCCCAACCAACUGAGCCACCCAGGCGUCCCCCAAUUGGAGUCUUAUGAAAGGCUUAAAACAUAUUUUUGUAAUACCUUAAAGGCAAAACUAUAAUAUUAUUUAUAAACUGAAGAGUACUAUAUAAAGACUACUGCUUUAAACGACCCAUAUAUAUGUAUAUCGAUUUGAAAAUUUUCCUCUAAAAAUUCAAUGGAAGGACAAAUUAUUUAGUGUGGCUUUAAUGAAUUUGAUAUUAAAAUGCCUUUUCUUUACUGUGUUAGUAGGAUAUUAUCAAAUCAGAUCUUAUUUCUUAACAUUUAGUGUUUCUCAAACUCACAAAGUCUAUGGUAUUUCCCCAUGUUGGUUGCCCACUACCAGACUUUUAUGUUUAUAUAAUUCCCCUCUAUAUCUAUAAUAAAAUUAAUGUAUUGAGCACCAGUCACUUGCCAGCCAGGCCUAUAGAUGCUUUACCUACAUCAUUAAUUAUCUUUUCAUUAUACUCAUAAAAAUCAAACAGGUCCAUUUGGUUUCUAGAUCAGCAUCUUCACCUCAGAGGAGGAAAUCAUCAGGUUUUAGAAGGCCAAUUGAAAUACUGACUUGUUUACAAAAAUGGCUCAUGGCAAUGCAGAGAUUGGGUCAUAAACCAAUGGAAGAAGCAUAAAAAUAAACCCACACUUAACUAGGAGUGCUAUGAAGCUAAGCUCUAAGAAUUUCCCUUUGGUGGGCAUAUAUAAGGGCCAAGAAUAUGAGAGUGACUUUCAUUUGGGAUAAAGUUGAUUUACUUUUUCCCUACCUGAGAUAAAUUUACAAUCAUAAUUGGCUUGAAAGAGCUGCAAAUAUUUUGCCUCAUUCUACCAACAUCAGACUCCUGAGGCUGUGAGACAGGGCCGUGGGUGUUUGGGAAGCAUGCCCCAAUUAAAGAGCAUAUAGCUAACCAACUGAGGGUUACUAUAUGACGAACACUGUGCUACGUGCUGGUGUGUGUUAUCUAACACGAUCCUCAUUGGUAUUAGUCAUUUGAUAAUCAUUCUUUUGUCCAGUUAACAAGUACAUAUUGACUAUCCACUAUGUAUGAAGCUAUCCUAGGACAAGGAUUCACCCUCACUGCCAAGGGUCUUACCUUCUAGUAGCCACUGCCUUUUUAGGCACCAGGUUUUAGGUGCUAAGACAGAAUCCCUGCCCUUGUGAAAGGUAUGUUCUAAGAUCAAAGGCAAUACUAUUCUUACUUUACUCAUGAGGAAAAGAGAGCCAGAGAAAUAAUAUAUUUGCCUAAGGUCACACAGGGGAGCCACAAUUCAAGUCUAACCUCUCGGAUUAUAAUGCCCUUACUUUUGAUGCUACAGUUCAGUAGUGGUAAACAUGGUCUAUUCCUUAGUUCAGUAAUUCAAGUAAGUCUUUUGCAAGAUUCCCAUUAAGAGUCAAAUUAUGCCUGGGAGGUGUCUGUGAUGGAGGAAAAUGUGAGAAAGCUCUCCUCAGAUCAUUCUGUGUAAGUAUUAGCAACGAUACCUUUGCUCUUGAACCUACCUGUUCCAGAAACUCUGCACUGAAAACGGGCUGGCUGUCCCUCAGAAGUGACGGUGUCCUGAAGUGGGGUAAUGAUAGCAGGAGGAUAAACUGGCAUUUCCUGAUCUGGAGACACGACUUCCGGAACUAAAGAAAGGGACCACAAGAUGCGUCAGGAUUAAAUCACCUGCAGACCUCAAAGAAGAAUGGAGCAUGUGGAUUUAUCUUAAUUCAUGUGGCAUCAGGGCACUUUCUGAAAGCUGAGCAGCAAUCCACUUGUAUGAGCUCCAGAUUGUAUUCAUAAAUGCAGUGGGACAACACACAAAAAGCGGGUUUCUUAGGUUUUAUUUUAAGCUGAGGCUAGCGAGGCCUUUCUACCUUCCACGGAGAGGGAAGCGGACGUCGUGGCUACUCCAUAGUCAUUCUUGGCUUCACAGGUAUAAACAGCCGCGUCCUCCGGGAAG
rnacentral:lncRNA from 1 species